AUGGAUCCACUCACCAAUGUUGGAGUAUCAAUGGUGGUCAAAGUCCCUAGAAGGCUAGUAAAAUGGUAGAACAUGUUCACAUUACUUGAGCAACGUGAUUUGAUGGGUAAAUUAGGGACUCUUAUUUCCUUGAUGGACAUCACCCCACGUCCUGACCUUGUAGAAGCAAUGUUGAAAUUUUGGGACCCAUAGGGAAUCGUAUUCAAGUUUGGGGAUCUUGAGAUGACAGCCACCUUAGCUGAGAUAGCUGGGUUAACCCGUUUGCCAUACCUAGACAAGGACUUGAUUUACACAAGGGCCCAUUCUAGCACCAAGUUCCUUAAGAUCAUAAGGAUGGAUUUGGAAGAUCACAUGGGGUGUCUAGAUCAAUCUUAGGGUACCUUUGAACUUUUUAUUCGAGAGGUUUGCUCGUCCUACAGGGUAUGAGACCUUUAUAGAUGAAUUUUCCAUAUCAUAUGGUUCUUGGAAGAAAAGGCGUCCUAUGGUCUUCACUAUUGCAUUUUUAGGUCUCCUGGUAUUUCUUUUGGAGGGUAAACAUAUUAUCACGUGUAUGGGAUCAAUAGCUUUUGCACUCUUCCAUGAUAAACACAGUAGUAGGGUCACCUUGGUUCCGACAAUUUUGGCAGAGAUCUAACGUGCUUCGACCAAGAUUCAAGAAGGUGGGAGGUUCGUUGAGGGAAGCAACUCGUUGCUACAGCUGUGGAUGAUGGAACACUUACAUCCUGCCACCAUGUUUGAGAAAGAUUUGAUUGACCGUUGUCUAAGAGAUCGAGCAAAGUACAUCGAGCAUAGGAUGACGUUCGAUAAAUUUGCCUUACCACUCAGAGUUCAGGAUUGAGUUGAUUAUUUAGGAUCCUUGACUGAAGAGAAGAUUUUGUGGUCAUAUCUAUGGAUUGAUUUGAAAAUGAUCCUAGCAGGAUCUCGCGUGCAAGACUUCUUGGUAAUGAUUGGACAUUGGUGUACUAGACCAUAUACCUAUGCUAGAGUGAUGCAUCAGCUAGGGAGGCAGCAAGAAGUCCCCUACAUUCCUGAUUCUCCUGACUUCACUCGGGAAUUUGACACUAUGCCGCACAGGGAGGUCGACAACCAAACCUAUUGGCGUCAUGCAAUGAAGAUGGGUAGGGUUACUUCCGCACCUGACCCACAUUCACCUGGGAAUACCCAUGAGUACUUCAUAUGGCUACAGUCUACUCAGUAGGGGAUUAGCAGACCAUUGCCCCAAUGUGUUAGAGGAGUAUUUGAUGAGGAGGCUGCCUCACGGAUAUUGCUUAGAUAGUUGAUUGAUCGAUUUACCCAGGCAGAGAAGGCCCAUGCGUCAGAAAAGGUUGGGGUCCGGAUACACUCCAGUCACUGAAGUCACAGUUGGCAGGGUCAGUAUCGAACAUGGGACAACACCAUGAAUACCUUACUAGAGUAAGCCUUCCAGAUGCAGGCGUGUAUUCCAGGGUUCUCAUUCCCAGCUUCGAGGUGUCCUUGUAGGGUCUAAUACAGAUCUUAGAUUCGACAGGAUUGACGGGGCCAUCUGGAUCUUCAUCAGACCCAUCCAGACCAGGACCGUCGCAUUCAGGAGCAGCUUGAGGAGUCAUUCAGUCUAGAUGUUUUGAGAUCGUCUUAUGUUGUAUUUUACUUUAGCGCCUUAUUUAGAAGUAUUAAGUUCUUUAGAUAAUGUCAAAGUCUGUCAUAGUGUAGUCGAAUAUGUCGUGUCUUUCCUUAUCGUAUUUCCCUUUGUGUUUUAAUAUCGAAAGGUUUUAAAUGAAAAAUCCCAAAUGAUUUUGUUUUUGGUUUAUUUUCCAUCACUUUUUCAGAACUACGCUCGGUCUGAUUAAUGAGGGACAUGAUACGUAGGCAACCUACAUCGGGUUCGAUCAAAACCAUUUUUGGUUCAAAAUAAAAAGAGAAAGGAAAAGAGAAAAAGGUGAUAAGAGGUGUUGGAAAAGAAAGAGAAGGAAGGAUCGAAAUGAGAAAAUUGGGAUGAUGCCAUAUGACUCUAUGACUCUCAAAGCCAUUUUAAAACCGUUAAUUUUUGUUAGGUGCAUUGCACGUAAUGUGAUAUUAUCAUAUGAUAAAUGCCCUAACGCUAACAUGGUGGUUUUGUGUUGUUGUCCUCUGUUACCUUCAUUAACUUUUAGGAAGGUGGUUAGUUUAUUGGCAUCCUGGCAAGUCAUCCCGACAACACCCGAUCAAAGCGUCAAACAGUCAUGGAUAGCAAGGAAAUAGACACUCGAGUUGUGGAUCCACCGAGGGAGAUUGUUGAGUCUGAAUCGGAACUGCAAGAGGAGGUCCGAAGGUUGAAGCAUCAAAUGGCAGAAAUGUAUCAAGCCUGAUUAAGGGACACCCUCCACCCUCGUUCCCUACCAACUACACAGAAAACCCUGCUUCCAUUCCACCACUCUCUCAAUCCAAGAUGCCCAAUACCAUUGAUCUUUCCUCACAAUACGCACCUGGACUUACCCCUUACCACAACUACCCCGACACUUCGGCCCAACCUUUUCAUGCUCCACCAGCCAAAACAACCUCAUACCCUGCUCCGACAUCUGCUCCUAUCUUUGUACCCCCUUCACAAGCUACCCUCCACCGAUCUUCUAGUGAGCCCGCAUUCCCCGCUCCAGAUACCCACUACGAUGCUUCGGAGCCCACCUUCAAAGUCCUAGAUCCUUACUCUUACACUCCCCAAUUUGAGCCUCAUGUUGAAACUGACAAACCACUCAAAAACACAGAGCAAGAUGAGAUGAUUAGGAAGGUACAGAGUCUGGAGCAAUCAUUGAGAAAUAUGCAAGGGUUGGGAAACCAGGUGAGUGUGGCCUAUAAGGACUUGUGUUUUUUCCCCGAUGUCCAACUGCCUGCCGGGUUCAAGAUGCCUAAGUUUUACUUGUAUGACGGACAUGGGUACCUUAUAGAUCAUUUGAGGGGUUAUGUCAGUAGGAUGAGAUGUGCCGGGGGGGGGGGGGAAAGAUGAAUUGCUAAUGGCAUACUUCAACCAAAGUCUGAGAGGGGCAGCUUUAAAGCCUAUAAGGAUUUGUGUUUGUUCCCCGAUGUCCAACUACCUACCGGGUUCAAGAUGCCUAAGUUUGACUUGUAUGAAAGACAUGGGGACCCUGUAGCUCAUGUAAGGGGUUAUUGCAGCAAAAGGAGAGGUGCCAGGGGAAAAGACGAAUUGUUAAUGGGAUACUUCAGCCAAAGUCUUAGUGGGGCAGCUUUAGAAUGGUACACUCGCUAGGACGUUAGGAGGUGGUACACCUGGGACGAUAUGGCUCAGGCCUUUGCCCGGUAUUUUCAGUACAAUAUAGACAAUACUCCAGACCACUUAUCUCUGACCAAGGUGGAAAAUAAACCCAGCAAAAGCUUUUGAGAAUAUGGAUUUCGAUGGAGGGAGCAAGCUGCACGAGUCAAUCCUCCGAUGGAAGAAGACGAGAUGGUUAAAUACGUUUCUUCAAGCCCUGGAGCCCACUUACUAUGGCCACUUGAUCUCAGCCAUUGGUAAGUCUUUCAAUGACGUGGUGAAGAUGGGAGAUGGUGGAAGAGGGCCUUAAGUCGAGUAAGAUCAUGAGUUACUCUACUGUAAAAGCAACAGGCAAUCCAGAGUGGUACUGGAAGUUUGUUAGGCAAGAAGAAGAAGGAAGAUGUCGCUACGGUUGUCUCCGGAUAAUGGCAUGGCCCGAGGGGUUCACCUCAUCAAUACACCCGUCCUCGACCCAAACCUCAAACCUACACCCAAGCUCCAUAUAAUCUACCCCAACAUUACUUUCCCCCACAGAAACCCCAAUACUCAACCAGGCCAUCCCAAUACUUUGUUCACCAUGCACAGUCAUAUGUUCAACCCCCUCAUUACCCGCAAUGGCGUGCUCCAGCUCCACAGAAUAUAUACCCAGCUCCAAAAAAUACCUAUCCACCUCCACAACCUUACGAAAACCCCAAUGGUUCAAGUUUUCGAUCAAGGCCAAAAUAAUGAAGAGAGAGGCAGCAACGAAAACAAACUUUU
rnacentral:lncRNA from 1 species